UUGUGGCAUGUGUUGAUUGAUGAUGCAGUCUAAGAUGAUAGCAGGCUAACUCGGAAGGGGUGUGGCGAUUUUUAUUACACCCAUACCCCUCAUUGGUUUCUACACGGCAUUGUACCGGAACGUUAGAUCGUGUGGCGGCCC